GAUGAACGCUGACAGAAUGCUUAACACAUGCAAGUCGAUGGGGAAGUGGUGCUUGCACCAUGGCAACCAUGGCGGACGGGUGAGUAACGCGUAAGGGACUUACCUGCAGGACUGGGAUAACAGGGGGAAACUCCUGACAAGACCGGAUAAUGUCAUGGAGCUGCAUGGCUUUAUGAUGAAAGGAGACGCCUGCGGAGAGCCUUGCGUCCUAUUAGCUAGUUGGUGAGGUAAUGGCUCACCAAGGCGAAGAUAGGUAGCCGGCCUGAGAGGGUGGACGGCCACAAGGGGAAUGAGAUACGGCCCUUACUCCUACGGGAGGCAGCAGUGGGGAAUAUUGGACAAUGGGGGCAACCCUGAUCCAGCAAUUCUGUGUGCACGAAGAAGGUUUUCGGAUUGUAAAGUGCUUUCAGCAGGGAAGAAGUAAGUGACGGUACCUGCAGAAGAAGCGACGGCUAAAUACGUG
rnacentral:rRNA from 1 species